AGUGGCGGACGGGUGAGUAACGCGUAAGAAUCUAACUUCAGGACGGGGACAACAGUGGGAAACGACUGCUAAUACCCGAUGUGCCGCGAGGUGAAACCUAAUUGGCCUGAAGAAGAGCUUGCGUCUGAUUAGCUAGUUGGUGGGGUAAGAGCCUACCAAGGCGACGAUCAGUAGCUGGUCUGAGAGGAUGAGCAGCCACACUGGGACUGAGACACGGCCCAGACUCCUACGGGAGGCAGCAGUGGGGAAUUUUCCGCAAUGGGCGAAAGCCUGACGGAGCAACGCCGCGUGAGGGAGGAAGGUCUUUGGAUUGUAAACCUCUUUUCUCAAGGAAGAAGUUCUGACGGUACUUGAGGAAUCAGCCUCGGCUAACUCCGUGCCAGCAGCCGCGGUAAUACGGGGGAGGCAAGCGUUAUCCGGAUUAUUGGGCGUAAAGCGUCCGCAGGUGGUCAGCCAAGUCUGCCGUCAAAUCAGGUUGCUUAACGACCUAAAGGCGGUGGAAACUGGCAGACUAGAGAGCAGUAGGGGUAGCAGGAAUUCCCAGUGUAGCGGUGAAAUGCGUAGAGAUUGGGAAGAACAUCGGUGGCGAAAGCGUGCUACUGGGCUGUAUCUGACACUCAGGGACGAAAGCUAGGGGAGCGAAAGGGAUUAGAUACCCCUGUAGUCCUAGCCGUAAACGAUGGAUACUAGGCGUGGCUUG
rnacentral:rRNA from 1 species